UACGUAGGGUGCAAGCGUUAAUCGGAAUUACUGGGCGUAAAGCGUGCGCAGGCGGUGAUGUAAGACAGGUGUGAAAUCCCCGGGCUUAACCUGGGAACUGCAUUUGUGACUGCAUGGCUAGAGUGCGGCAGAGGGGGAUGGAAUUCCGCGUGUAGCAGUGAAAUGCGUAGAUAUCUGGAGGAACACCGGUGGCGAAGGCGGCAUCCUGGACCGGCAUUGACGCUGAGGCGCGAAAGCCAGGGGAGCAAACGGG
rnacentral:rRNA from 1 species